rnacentral:lncRNA from 1 species
GAAACUGAAUCAACUAGAAAACUAAAAGAAACUCAGGCCUGGAAACCCUUCUUCUCUGUCCUUUGAAAAUAAAGCCUAUCAUGUAUCAGUCAUUUAAAAGACUGAUGCUGCUCUAAAAUCAUGCAUUUCAAUCCUCAUUCUCUGUCAAAAUCACGAGUUCUUCUGACAGACCCAAUGUCACAUAAUCUGGACUCUAUUUUGCCAUUUAACCAUCGUCAUCACCGCUUCCUUUAUCGCGAUUCACCAGUCUUUCCACCGCAUGUGGAACCUUCUCCAUCCAGUAUUGGGAAUUUUCAUAUCGUCGUCCUUCUAUCACCAUCCCGUGAGCCGUUUUGUUGGCUUCCCUUGGUACGUACUUAAAGCUUAGUCUUCUAAAUUUAGGGGUUCUCCCCUUUAUUUCUUUAAUCAUAUUGCUAAUGUUCGAUUUAUUUUCUUCUAAGGAGUUUACUUUACAUAUUAUGGUCAACGCAUCUCCUUCAACACAAAUGUCUUGGAAACCCAUUUCCUCCGCCAUAGUGAUUGCUUGCAAACACGCCCUUGCCUCUGCCAUAACUAGAUCUGGAAUAUUCUCCCAUUGAAAGGUACAAGCAGCCAUUACUAACCCUUCUUUAUUUCGAGCUAAAAUUCCUUAUACUGAUCUUCUCGAGUGUUGGUUUAAUGAGGCGUCAAAGUUGAUUUUUAUAAUGUUAUCAUCCGGUGGUUUCCAAACAGAAUCAUUGACUCCAUUCGCAUUUUUUAAAAACUCCCUCAUAAAUGCUAUUUCUGCAUAAUAAGCAUUGAUAAACGCCACUAUUUCAUUUACUUGUUCUCUUGUUCCUUCAUGAUAAAUCUUAUUGCGAUUGUACCAAAUAGCCCAGUAUACGAUAGAUCUUAUUUUACAUGCUUCUGUAUUCUGACUGUCGAACUCUGUUUCUAACCAUUUUUUCCAAUUGGGUUCUCUAUUGCAUGUUGUAUUUGUCGCUCCCAUCCCUCGCAAUACUUGCUGCAUGAAAGUGCAAUCCCUAAAUAGGUGGCUCACUGUUUCCUCAUUUGCUUGACACAAAGGGCAAAGUGUAUUUACAACCAGUUUACGGAUUCUUAGGUUGUGUAAAGUGGGUAUGAACUCAUUUGCUAUUCUCCACAUAAGUAUACAGAUUACUUGGUACCAUAAGACCCCAUAACUUUGUAAAGAAAGUAGAUGAAAUUUCAUUAUGUAAUAUAGGAUCCCCAUUAUAAUAACCCAUUUGUAGCCACUUUUAACUAUGUAUACCCCUGUAUUGUCACCUCUCCAUAUUAACUCAUCCUGCGGUCUGCUACACACCAAUGGAAUUGAAAGAAUAUUUUUCAGUUGCUCCUCUCCGAAUAGUGAUCGGAUAGUGUCUUGCUUCCAGGUAGUAGUAUCCCUAUUGAUUAAAUCAGAAACAACAGUAUAUCUGAUAUCUAUGUUCUGACAUUGUAUUCUUCCAUUCCAGGCCCCGGUAACCAAAUAUCAUUCCAUAUGUUAAUUGCAUCAACGUUCCCAACUCGCCAACCAAUUCCCUAUUCGAGAAGUUGUCUAGCACCCCAAAUACUACACCAGGUAUACGAAGG